rnacentral:lncRNA from 1 species
CUCAUCUAAGCCUGGAAGAGCUGGUGGAAGGGGGAUGCCAGCCCAGGGCACAGCGGGCAGGGAGCCCGCCGGGGCCAAGGAGCAGAGGUGUCGCUACAGCUGGAGUUUGGCCCUGAAGGUGGGACCGGGAAAGGAGGGGUUGGAAGGGCAGGCCGCCAGAUUAGACAGCCUCCAGCUUUUAAGCGAGGGAGGGGGUUACCAGGCAUAUGGAUCCAGUGACUCUGGGGCAGAGUCAAGAGCGGAUCAGAGACAGCUGGUGUGGAAGAGGCGGCCGUGGAGACAAGCUCCUGGGAGAGAGAGGGCCCUUAGCCUCCGGGAAGGGAUGGCAUGACCCAGGGACAGGCAAGAACCAGGACAAUGCAGGACCCGAGACGGUCACCCAAGCCUCUCCAGCCCCCAGUCAUGCGGCUCCUUUGUUCCAUGAACCACACACUGAUCCAGGCGGAAAGAUCAACAUUUUAAUCUCGCAGGCCCGUCUCUUCCACGCUCAUGCAGGAACCCUCCCACGGCCCCGGAUCACCAAGUCCGUCACCCGAGAGGUUCAGAGAGGGUGUGCGUCUCCACGGAGGGGACCAGCGAGGGCGCCCCGCCGCGGGGAGAGCCGGUCUGUCCAGCCCGAGCCCCGGCGCCCUCCUCGCCACGCGGAAUGUCUGGACACUCGGAAGCUACCGGCGGGGUCCGGAGUCGGGCCAGGAACCUCGCCCCCCGCACGACCAAGACUGUCACCCCACCGGCUGGGACCCCCGAGCCCUCCCCGGCUCUCGGCCCCCAGGGAGCAGCGGAUCGUCUCGGCCGAUCUCGCGAGAACCCGAGGGGACGCGACCCAUGGGCAGCGUCCCCGCGGCCGCCGGAGUCCGAGCGGCAGAGGCUUCUGGGGCCUCAGACGCCCAGAAACCACCGC